rnacentral:rRNA from 1 species
AGCGGCGGACGGGUGAGUAACGCGUGGGUAACCUGCCUCAUACAGGGGGAUAACAGUUAGAAAUGACUGCUAAUACCGCAUAAGCGCACGGGACCGCAUGGUCUUGUGUGAAAAACUCCGGUGGUAUGAGAUGGACCCGCGUCUGAUUAGGUAGUUGGCGGGGUAGCGGCCCACCAAGCCGACGAUCAGUAGCCGACCUGAGAGGGUGACCGGCCACAUUGGGACUGAGACACGGCCCAAACUCCUACGGGAGGCAGCAG